UCCGGGCUGGGGUAAUGGUAUCCUACGGGCCUGUGGCGCCUGUGACGUGGGUUCGAUUCCCACGCCCGGAC
rfam:Halorubrum sp. J07HR59 genomic scaffold scf7180000001382, whole genome shotgun sequence.